rnacentral:rRNA from 1 species
GAUGAACGCUGGCGGCGUGCCUAAUACAUGCAAGUAGAACGCUGAAGGAGGAGCUUGCUCUUCUGGAUGAGUUGCGAACGGGUGAGUAACGCGUAGGUAACCUGCCUGGUAGCGGGGGAUAACUAUUGGAAACGAUAGCUAAUACCGCAUGACAACAGUUCUUGCAUGAUAACUGUUUAAAAGGGGCAACUGCUCCACUACCAGAUGGACCUGCGUUGUAUUAGCUAGUUGGUGAGGUAACGGCUCACCAAGGCGACGAUACAUAGCCGACCUGAGAGGGUGAUCGGCCACACUGGGACUGAGACACGGCCCAGACUCCUACGGGAGGCAGCAGUAGGGAAUCUUCGGCAAUGGACGGAAGUCUGACCGAGCAACGCCGCGUGAGUGAAGAAGGUUGUCGGAUCGUAAAGCUCUGUUGUAAGAGAAGAACGAGUGUGAGAGUGGAAAGUUCACACUGUGACGGUAUCUUACCAGAAAGGGACGGCUAACUACGUG